rnacentral:rRNA from 1 species
CCUGGUGGGUAGUUUGACUGGGGCGGUCUCCUCCCAAAGAGUAACGGAGGAGCACGAAGGUGGGCUAAUCACGGUUGGACAUCGUGAGGUUAGUGCAAUGGCAUAAGCCCGCUUGACUGCGAGAAUGACAAUUCGAGCAGGUGCGAAAGCAGGUCAUAGUGAUCCGGUGGUUCUGAAUGGAAGGGCCAUCGCUCAACGGAUAAAAGGUACUCCGGGGAUAACAGGCUGAUACCGCCCAAGAGUUCAUAUCGACGGCGGUGUUUGGCACCUCGAUGUCGGCUCAUCACAUCCUGGGGCUGAAGUCGGUCCCAAGGGUAUGGCUGUUCGCCAUUUAAAGUGGUACGCGAGCUGGGUUUAGAACGUCGUGAGACAGUUCGGUCCCUAUCUGCCGUGGGCGUUGGAAGAUUGAAGGGGGCUGCUCCUAGUACGAGAGGACCGGAGUGGACGAACCUCUGGUGUUCGGGUUGUGUCGCCAGACGCAUUGCCCGGUAGCUAAGUUCGGAAUCGAUAACCGCUGAAAGCAUCUAAGCGGGAAGCGAGCCCUGAGAUGAGUCUUCCCUGAUACUUUAAGUAUCCUAAAGGGUUGUCGGAGACUACGACGUUGAUAGGUCAGGUGUGUAAGUGCUGUGAGGCAUUGAGCUAACUGAUACUAAUUGCCCGUGAGGCUUAACCAU